UCCGUAGGCGGUUAGAUAAGUCAGUGGUGAAAGCCCAUCGCUCAACGGUGGAACGGCCAUUGAUACUGUUUAACUUGAAUUAUUAGGAAGUAACUAGAAUAUGUAGUGUAGCGGUGAAAUGCUUAGAGAUUACAUGGAAUACCAAUUGCGAAGGCAGGUUACUACUAAUGGAUUGACGCUGAUGGACGAAAGCGUGGGUAGCGAACAGGAUUAGAUACCCUUGUA
rnacentral:rRNA from 1 species